rnacentral:rRNA from 1 species
AGUGAACGCUGGCGGUAUGCCUAAUACAUGCAAGUCGAACGAAAGCACAGUAAGCGCUUGUUCCUACGGGUGGCGAGUGGCGGACGGGUAAGGCAUACAUAGGCAUCUACUUAUACGUGGGGGAUUACGUAGAGCCACAUAUGCUAAUACAGCAUACGAUCUACGGGAGAAAUCAGAAGAUAUUCGGACUCUGCGUGACACAUUGAGCCGAAGCCGCAUUAGCUAGUUGGCUAGGUAAAGGCCCACCAAGGCAACGAUCCGUAGCUGAUCUGAGAGGAUGAUCGGCCACACUGGAACUGAGACACGGUCCAGACUCCUACGGGAGGCAGCAGUGGGGAAUAUUCCACAAUGGGCGCAAGCCUGAUGCAGCCACGCCGCGUGAGUGAUGAAGGUCUUCGGAUCGUAAAACCCUGUUAUUAGGAAAGAACAUCUGCGUAAGAAUCCGCCGCUAUUCUGACGGUACCCAAACAGAAAGCACCGGCUAACUUCGUG